rnacentral:rRNA from 1 species
UACGUAGGGGGCAAGCGUUGUUCGGAAUUACUGGGCGUAAAGGGCGCGUAGGCGGCUCGGCAAGUCGGGAGUGAAAGCCCGGGGCUCAACCCCGGAACGGCUCUCGAAACUGCCGGGCUCGAGUGCGGAAGAGGCAACCGGAAUUCCCAGUGUAGCGGUGAAAUGCGUAGAGAUGUGGAGGAACACCAAUGGCGAAGGCGGCUCGCUGGACCGGAACUGACGCUGAGGCGCGAAAGCGUGGGGAGCAAACAGG